rnacentral:rRNA from 1 species
UACGGAGGGAGCUAGCGUUAUUCGGAAUUACUGGGCGUAAAGCGCACGUAGGCGGCUUUGUAAGUUAGAGGUGAAAGCCUGGAGCUCAACUCCAGAAUUGCCUUUAAGACUGCAUCGCUUGAAUCCAGGAGAGGUGAGUGGAAUUCCGAGUGUAGAGGUGAAAUUCGUAGAUAUUCGGAAGAACACCAGUGGCGAAGGCGGCUCACUGGGACGGUACUGACGCUGAGACGCGAAAGCGUGGGGAGCGAACAGG